rnacentral:ncRNA from 1 species
UGCGAUGAGUCGAGUAUGAUCCGAUAUUUCUUUGAAAUAUUCUGCGCAAGCGGCUCGGGAUCAAAAAGAUAGCAGGGCAUCAUCAGGCUAGACCGACCUACCGGAUCGUAGGGGAUGUUUACGUCCGCUGUGUUGUGGAGCAC